rnacentral:snoRNA from 1 species
GUCGACAAUACUUCAGAGAAUCAUUUCUAUAGUAUUCGACCUCCUCUAGGUUCCCUAAAGGAGCCAUAGAUCCCACCCUGGUUGAUGAUUUAUAUCCUCGACACCCUAGAGUGAAAUACCUCUGGUUGCUCUCGACCUCUCCGCGAGGAGGGCGGUUCUGCUGUCGCGGCAGGCUGUAUAGAGAGCGGUGAUGAUCUCGUCCCCUGUCGCGGUCUUUUGCCCUCGUGGCGCGCGGCGUGGGGUGGGUGUCGACGGACGUCUGACAGGC